rnacentral:rRNA from 1 species
AGGUUUGAUCCUGGCUCAGGACGAACGCUGGCGGCGUGCUUAACACAUGCAAGUCGAACGGAAAGGCCCUUUCGGGGGUACUCGAGUGGCGAACGGGUGAGUAACACGUGGGUGAUCUGCCCUGCACUUUGGGAUAAGCCUGGGAAACUGGGUCUAAUACCGAAUACACCCUGCUGGUCGCAUGGCCUGGUGGGGGAAAGCUUUUGCGGUGUGGGAUGGGCCCGCGGCCUAUCAGCUUGUUGGUGGGGUGAUGGCCUACCAAGGCGACGACGGGUAGCCGGCCUGAGAGGGUGUCCGGCCACACUGGGACUGAGAUACGGCCCAGACUCCUACGGGAGGCAGCAGUGGGGAAUAUUGCACAAUGGGCGCAAGCCUGAUGCAGCGACGCCGCGUGGGGGAUGACGGCCUUCGGGUUGUAAACCUCUUUCACCAUCGGCGAAGCCCAUAGCUUUUGUUGUGGGUGACGGUAGGUGGAGAAGAAGCACCGGCCAACUACGUGCCAGCAGCCGCGGUAAUACGUAGGGUGCGAGCGUUGUCCGGAAUUACUGGGCGUAAAGAGCUCGUAGGUGGUUUGUCGCGUUGUCCGUGAAAUUCCCUGGCUUAACUGGGGGCGUGCGGGCGAUACGGGCAGACUAGAGUACUGCAGGGGAGACUGGAAUUCCUGGUGUAGCGGUGGAAUGCGCAGAUAUCAGGAGGAACACCGGUGGCGAAGGCGGGUCUCUGGGCAGUAACUGACGCUGAGGAGCGAAAGCGUGGGGAGCGAACAGGAUUAGAUACCCUGGUAGUCC